CACGUAGGGGCCAAGCGUUGUCCGGAAUUAUUGGGCGUAAAGAGCUUGUAGGCGGCUUGUCGCGUCUGCCGUGAAAAUCCGGGGCUCAACCCCGGACUUGCGGUGGGUACGAGCAGACUAGAGUGUGGUAGGGGAGACUGGAAUUCCUGGUGUAGCGGUGAAAUGCGCAGAUAUCAGGAGGAACACCGGUGGCGAAGGCGGUUCUCUGGGCCGUACCUGACGCUGAGGAGCGAAAGCGUGGGGAGCGAACAGG
rnacentral:rRNA from 1 species